CCUGUCCCUAGAGGCCUUGCAGGUGUGGCUGCUGUGUCACAUGUGCAGCGGUAGGAGGCAGAGAGGAGAGAGGCUGUGUCUGAGCUCAGUCUUCUGACCUAUGAACGUCUGAAUCAUUUAUAACCCCAGAUG